AACGAACGCUGGCGGCGCGUCUUAAGCAUGCAAGUCGAACGGCAAGAGAGGAGCUUGCUUCUCUCCUAGAGUGGCGGACUGGUGAGGAACACGUGGGUAAUCUACCCUUAAGAUGGGGAUAGCUGCUAGAAAUAGCAGGUAAUACCGAAUACACUCGGCAUAUCACAAGAGGUGUUGAGGAAAAGAAGCUACGGCUUCGCUUGAGGAUGAGCUUGCGUCCCAUUAGCUAGUUGGUGAGGUAAAGGCCCACCAAGGCGACGAUGGGUAUCCGGCCUGAGAGGGUGAACGGACACAUUGGGACUGAGAUACGGCCCAAACUCCUACGGGAGGCAGCAGCUAAGAAUAUUCCGCAAUGGACGGAAGUCUGACGGAGCGACGCCGCGUGGAUGAAGAAGGCUGAAAAGUUGUAAAAUCCUUUUGUUGAUGAAGAAUAAGGGUGAGAGGGAAUGCUCAUCUGAUGACGGUAAUCGACGAAUAAGCCCCGGCUAAUUACGUG
rnacentral:rRNA from 1 species